rnacentral:rRNA from 1 species
AUGUCUUGCCGCGCCUACCAUUUUUGGAAUGUCCGAGGCCUUAACUCCGGCGCUAAGCGCACCGCCGUCCGCAGCGUGAUCUCCGCUGCCGCACCUACCAUAGUGUGUCUCCAAGAGACAAAGCUCGCGCAUGUCUCCGACGCCAUAGUUUUGGAAACGCUCGGUCCGUCCUUUGAGGACUUUUACUUCCUAGUUCCUCCCCGCGGAUGGCACACGCGAUGGUAUCCUCCUUGCUUGGCAACGAGCUACCAUCUCCCUCUCCAAUCCCCUCAUCGGUGA